rnacentral:rRNA from 1 species
ACGAACGCUGGCGGCAUGCCUAACACAUGCAAGUCGAACGCGACCUUCGGGUCUAGUGGCGCACGGGUGCGUAACGCGUGGGAACCUGCCUUUAGGUUCGGAAUAACUCAGAGAAAUUUGAGCUAAUACCGGAUGAUGUCUUCGGACCAAAGAUUUAUCGCCUUUAGAUGGGCCCGCGUUGGAUUAGCUAGUUGGUGGGGUAAAGGCCUACCAAGGCGACGAUCCAUAGCUGGUCUGAGAGGAUGAUCAGCCACACUGGGACUGAGACACGGCCCAGACUCCUACGGGAGGCAGCAGUGGGGAAUAUUGGACAAUGGGCGAAAGCCUGAUCCAGCAAUGCCGCGUGAGUGAUGAAGGCCUUAGGGUUGUAGAGCUCUUUUACCCGAGAUGAUAAUGACAGUAGCGGGAGAAUAAGCUCCGGCUAACUCCGUG